rnacentral:misc_RNA from 1 species
GAGCAGAAAAAAAAAAGUCUCCGAACGUGCACAUAAGUACUAUUUGCGCGUAUACGUGAGCCACAUAGUAAAUUGCACACAAAUGUGGUGAUGUAAUAGCAGUCGGCGGUUUCUUUUUUUUUGGCGGACAAUUGCAUGCGAUUUGCUAUGUGUUGAGGGAGAAUAGGUGGCAUGUUGGGCUUGUUAGAAAGGCAUGCCGCUAGCGCUUAUUUUCCCGCUAUUUCGUAACAACGGUGUCCAUUUUGGCGUCUACGCUUCACCGAGCUAUCGCCUGGACCGUCGGUAGCGAUGAAAGGUGGAGAGAAAGCUCCUCGUUUCGAGUCGAGUAGACUCAAUGAGCCUCAGCUUGGAGGCCGCCAAAACUCAAAAAACACAAUCACUUUUGAAAAUCUAUUCUAAUGAAAGAUGCUAAAUUUUGUUUAGUAUCUUCGAAUUGUAAGAUGAA